rnacentral:rRNA from 1 species
UUGGAGAGUUUGAUCCUGGCUCAGGACGAACGCUGGCGGCACGCUUAACACAUGCAAGUCGAACGAGGUCCAUGGAGCUUGCUCCGGAAGACCUAGUGGCGAACGGGUGCGUAACACGUGAGAAACCUGCCCUGAACUUGGGAAUAACAGUUGGAAACGACUGCUAAUACCGAAUACCUUCACACCGUCGCAUGGUGGAGUGAAGAAAGCUUUUGCGGUUUGGGAGGGUCUCGCGGCCUAUCAGCUUGUUGGUGAGGUAACGGCUCACCAAGGCAUCGACGGGUAGCUGGUCUGAGAGGAUGAUCAGCCACACUGGGACUGAGACACGGCCCAGACUCCUACGGGAGGCAGCAGUGGGGAAUAUUGCACAAUGGGCGCAAGCCUGAUGCAGC